rnacentral:misc_RNA from 1 species
GUUUAAAUUUGCAGGAAUUUGUUGUGUGGCAACUGGGAAGUGAUAGCGGAACUUGGGUUUUUAAGGGAUUUGGAGAGGUGGGUCAUCGGUAUUUUUGACUGAAAAUGGGUGUUUCACAGGCUGAUCAUAGUAGAAUGGAAGGGUGGUUAUAUCUUAUUCGUUCAAAUAGGUUUGGACUUCAGUAUUCACGAAAGCGGUACUUUAUUCUUCAGGAUCAGUUUCUUAAGAGCUAUAAAUCUGUACCAGUUCCUGAAAAUGAGGAUCCUAUUAGAAGUGCAGUUGUUGAUUCCUGCAUUCGUGUAACAGACAAUGGCAGAGAGAGCAUUCAAAGAAAAGUCUUUUUCAUUUUCACACUUUAUAACACCUCAAAUCAUAAUGAUCAGCUGAAGUUAGGAGCAAGCAGUCCCGAGGAAGCUGCAAGGUGGAUCCAGGCAGUUCAGGAAGCAGCUUUAAAGGUAGACGUGAACAGAGGAAAGGAAGUUGAUUUUUCAAGCAGUGGUUCGCAGUCUUUGAGGUUAAAUUGUUCCAACAAGUCUAAUCGUCUGAAUUCAAUUGAUUGGACUGUCUGUUCAUCCUCAGUUACAGAUGCUAUGACAUCUGAUGUUGUUGCACCCUCACCUUGGACAAUCUUUGGUUGUGAGAAUGGUCUUAGGCUCUUCAAGGAAGCUAAAGAUAG